AGGAAGAACGCUGAAGGAAGCCUCUUGGGUGCAUUGGGAUCCCUGAACUUCUUUUUUGUCUCCCCUUCAGGAGGGACGUAGGUUUUCAUUUCUCUUUCAUAAUGGGUCUUGUCUGUCUUUGCCAUAUCUUCAAAUUUUCCCUUCUGUUUAGCAGACAUGGUCUUCCACCUCUCUGAGCACUUCUUAGAAAACUGAGAAGUUGACUGAAGCAUCUGGAUGCUUCUUAUGCUCCUCCCAACAAGUUUGCACAAAAAAUGCGUAUGACAACAUCUUGCCUCUAGGCUUCUUAGGAUCUCCUUUGCCCAUGUUUAGUUGUUUUUCCACAGCGAGGCACAGAGUCACCCAGUGCCUGUCUGGCUCUCGCUUGCCCCGGCGCUGUCUCUAUCGUAACCUCUUUAAGUUAUGUGAAAGUUACAAUGCUGCCCGCCCCACAGUGAGAGCUAAGUAAUCUCUCCUUCCCUUCUUGAGCCUCCAUGACUUUCAUGCUGUGUUUCACAGAGUCAUGGGU
rnacentral:lncRNA from 1 species